AGAGUUUGAUCAUGGCUCAGAGUGAACGCUGGCGGCGUGCCUAACACAUGCAAGUCGAACGAGAACGGGUUACAGUUUACUGUAACUGUCAGCUAAGUGGCGCACGGGUGAGUAAUAUAUAGUUAAUCUGCCCCAAAGAAGAGAAUAAUUGUUGGAAACGACUUGUAAUGCUCUAUAUGCCUUUAUCACAUAAGUGAGCAAGGGAAACAUUUAUGGCUUUGGGAUGAGACUGUACGGUAUCAGCUAGUUGGUGAGGUAAUGGCUCACCAAGGCUAUGACAUCUAACUGGUUUGAGAGGAUGAUCAGUCACACUGGAACUGAGACACGGUCCAGACUCCUACGGGAGGCAGCAGUGGGGAAUAUUGCACAAUGGAGGAAACUCUGAUGCAGCAACGCCGCGUGGAGGAUGACACAUUUCGGUGCGCAAACUCCUUUUAUUAGGGAAGAUAAUGACGGUACCUAAUGAAUAAGCACCGGCUAACUCCGUGCCAGCAGCCGCGGUAAUACGGGGGGUGCAAGCGUUACUCGGAAUCACUGGGCGUAAAGAGAAUGUAGGCUGGUUAUUAAGUUGGAAGUGAAAUCCUAUGGCUCAACCAUAGAACUGCUUCCAAAACUGAUUACCUAGAAUAUGGGAGAGGUAGAUGGAAUUUCUGGUGUAGGGGUAAAAUCCGUAGAGAUCAGAAGGAAUACCGAUUGCGAAGGCGAUCUACUGGAACAUUAUUGACGCUGAGAUUCGAAAGCGUGGGGAGCAAACAGGAUUAGAUACCCUGGUAGUCCACGCCCUAAACGAUGCACACU
rnacentral:rRNA from 1 species